rnacentral:rRNA from 1 species
GUGGGGAAUUUUGCGCAAUGGGGGAAACCCUGACGCAGCAACGCCGCGUGAGUGAUGAAGGCCUUCGGGUCGUAAAGCUCUGUCAGAGGGGAAGAAAUGCAGGGGUGCUAAUAUCAUCUUUGCUUGACGGUACCCUCAAAGGAAGCACCGGCUAACUCCGUGCCAGCAGCCGCGGUAAUACGGAGGGUGCGAGCGUUGUUCGGAAUUAUUGGGCGUAAAGCGCGUGUAGGCGUUUUGGUAAGUCUGAUGUGAAAGCCCCGGGCUCAACCUGGGAAGUGCAUUGGAAACUGUCAGACUUGAAUACGGGAGAGGGUAGUGGAAUUCCUAGUGUAGGAGUGAAAUCCGUAGAUAUUAGGAGGAACACCGGUGGCGAAGGCGGCUACCUGGACCGAUAUUGACGCUGAGACGCGAAAGCGUGGGGAGCAAACAGGAUUAGAAACCCGAGUAGUCC